rnacentral:ncRNA from 1 species
CCGCUGCCCGUGCGGCCCUUCGGGGGUUACGGGACGGGGAAUAGUCGUGAGUCACCCGUCAUGAAAGAACCGCGACAGCU